GCGCUGUUAGUGUAGUGGUAAAACACAACCUCGUCUUCUUCUUGAUCUGAUAUCAGGUUGAGUUCUGGGUUCGACUCCCGGACGGCGCG